AUGCAUGUCUAAGUACAAGCCGUGUUUACACGGCGAGACCGCGGACGGCUCAUUAAAUCAGUCGUGGUCCAUAUGGGCUAGAGUUAAUCCUACUUGGAUAACUGUGGUAAUUCCAGAGCUAAUACAUGCAACUCUUAUCCUGACGUAGCGCGGCUUAUCUCACGGUUUGUCGUAGCGCUGACGGAUGCUUUUAUUAGACCAAACCGCUGGGUGCGUGUUCGUGUUCAUUCGCGGAUGCGUACCACUCGUUUAAUGGUGACUCUGGAUAACCUUAUUGACAAGCGCACGUACUCCUCGUGGGACGGCGCUGCCACUUUCGAGUGUCUGCCUUAUCAGCUAUCAACCGUUUGUUACGUGCACACGAUGGCUUUGACGGGUAACGGGGAAUCAGAGUUCGAUUCCGGAGAGGCAGCCUGAGAGACGGCUACCACGUCCAAGGACGGCAGCAGGCACGCAAAUUACCCAAUCCCAGCACCUGGGGGAGGUAGUGACGAAAUCUAACGAUGCGGGCGCCCUUUCUGGGGCCCCGCAAUCGGAAUGGCCACUUUCUAAACAACCUGUUGAGAACCUACUGAAGGGCAAGUCUGGCGCCAGCAGCCGCGGUAAUUCCAGCUUCAGUAGCAUCUAUUAAAGUUGCUGCGGUUAAAAGGCUCGCAGUUGAAUGUCAGUAUCGAGCGCAGGUCAGGUGGACGCUGGGGCGUGAACAUCCAAGGCGCUUCGCUUGUGUCGAUUGCGGACGUGCGUGUGUGC
rnacentral:rRNA from 1 species